AGCUGUAAUGUACUUUUUGUAACAUAGGCAUUAUGUUCACUUUUCUCAUCCUUUUUUUUAAUAAUAAUAAUAAUAAUAACAGUAAUAUUUUGCAAUUUCUGUGGAGAAAUAGUACAAAUUUGUACUAUUUCUUGGAUUUGAGUAGGGGACCAGUCUACCUUCACCUAGAGCAAGAGGAAAGUUUAUUUAAGCUUAAUUAAAAGGUGCUAUAGGGUGAAUUUCUUUUCUUUGGGCUCUACUAACCGAAAUGCAAAAUUGCUGAAUUCUACAGGAUUCUUGAGUUUUCCUCUGUAGCUGAACUUUUGGAAGGUUAGUAGAGAGCUUAACUUCACCCACAGUUGGUUGGAUCAUUGUUGGAGCUGAUUUGGAGGUAGACAUUUUUGAUCUGUUGAUGAGGAACAAUUUUACUUGUCCAACUUAUCAAUGCUUGUUCGAACAGCUGGAGCUGUGGAAAUGGAAGUGGGAAGCAAGAGUUUCAAUCAUGCGGUGUUUGUUAUUUUUUUUGUUACAUUUUGAACAAGUAUUUUUUGUUAGAACUUAUGUUCGAAAUUUAAUUUCAAUACUGAGAUUGUAAUUUGA